UGCAUGUGGUCCGCACACACUGAGGAUGACCCGCAUACAGGGGACACUGCUCUGGAUGCCCGCACUUGACCACAAGGAACUGAAGAUACUGAACAGUGUUUGUGGAUCGGAGUGGACCGGGGCUGCAGGGCACAGGCAGCGAAUCCCGCAGAGUGGCGAUGCCGGAAUUUCUUCCUCCCCAUCAGUGCUGUGCCAGCAGCAUUAGGAGCAUUUCACUCACAAGAAAACAACUCAGGAGCAGCCGUGAUGAAGGACCCUCAUGCACACGUCUGGACUAAAUCAUUUCCAGUCCUGCUGCCCAUUGCGGCCACCAUCUCCACGGAGCAGAGGAGAGUGCAGGAACACAGUGCAGAGAAGGCAGGAAAGUGCCAACCUGCCUGCUCCUCCCAGGACAGCAGCCCUAAUCUGUGUCACCCAAAGCCCUGCCUUCAGCUCAGCAGUGGCUGACACCUGCUUAACGUGUUGCCUUCUGCUAAUUCACGGCUUCUAAUUA